GCUUACGGCCAUACCACCCUCAACACCCAGAUCUUGUCUGAGCUCGGAAGCUAAGCAGGGUCGGGCCUGGUUAGUACUUGGAUGGGAGACCGCCUGGGAAUACCAGGUGCUGUAAGCU
ensembl:rRNA 5S_rRNA 5S ribosomal RNA